UUUUUGAUUUUGAUUUUUAGGGUUCCUGAUGUUCUUUAUUUGUUUUUUUUUUCCUCGAAAAGAUGUUUUGGUUUUAAUCCGUCUCAAUAGAUUAGAAUCAAUUACUGAGAAAGAGGGUUUUCAUCUUCUGACAUUUAAUCAAUUGAAAAGAUGUUUUGGUUUUAAUCUGUCUUAAUAAACUAAAACCAAUUAUAGAGAAAGGGGGUUUUCAUCUUCUGACAUAUAAUCAAUUGGAUGAAAAUUCUAAUGAUGGUUUAAUUUUUUUCUAGGUUUUGGUAGAACAUUAAAAUCAAUUGAAAGGGUUUUCUUUCUUGUUCUUCCAUUUUUAUUUCUUCACUUGGAUUAAGUUCCUUGGAUUUUUCUUGGAAUAAGUUUGCUAGUUUGUGGAACUGGUGUUAGGUUUCUUUGGUUGUUUUUCUUUUCUGUUAAUUGAAAGGUUCAUGAUGCACCCACAACAGUAUCUACAUCUCAAACUGCUGAAACUGCAACUAAUGUUCUCACGACUCAAACUGCUCCAAAGUUGAGGGUAGAAAUGGAUGCAAGUGGUAGACUUAAAGGUACAAAUUCACUACAAUUUGCUACUCUUAUCGGAGAACUUGUCCGAACACAUUGUCCCGUUGGAGGGUAGUUCCAAGGAUCUUGAUAGAGAAUGUCUGGAAUAAGUUGAUGAUAUAUAUCCUGUACAUCGCACUUUCAAUCUUAGACAGCAGUUAUGUUUGAUUUGUAAAAUGCCGGUCCCAAGCCCGAGUAAAGAAGGAGGGAAGAGGGGAUCUUGUUCUUUUCUUGUCAUUUGCUUUUAACAUUUUCUCCAUUUUCAGUUUGUAAGGAAGUUUAUUGCGACUUUGAAGGUUUUAGGUGCAGUGCUAGAGAAGCUAAGUGGAGAGGAUGCAGAUGGAUUGAUCUCUGAAGAGCAUACCUUGCUGGUAAUAACAAGAACUUGGUACUUCCAGUUCCUGCUUUCAAUGUUACUAACGGAGGGUCACACGCCGGAAACAAAACUGGAAAUGCAAGAAUUCAUGAUCCUUCCCGUUGGAGCAAAAUCUUUCAAGGAGGCAAUGAAAAUGGGAGUUGAAGUAUACCACAAUUUAAAGGUAUUUCCGAGCAAACAGUAUUUCCACCUGAUGCCCAACCACCGACAACAGCACCAGCUGUGAAUGCUCCUGCCCAGGCACCGCAACCGACACUACCAGUUCCUCCCACUAGGCCUAAUGCAAAUCCGUUAAAUUUGUUUCUUAAGCCUUAGAAAAUUAAUGGAUUAAUGAUUCCUUCCGACUGCCACAGGAAAGGAUGUUCGUUCAAUCAGAAUUAAGAGGAGCUAGGAUGUCGCUAAGUUGAAGCAGAGUUCGAGAAUUCUCCCAGUUUCUAGUCAAGCUUCUGAAGUUACGGUCAACCAGGACAAGUGAUAGACAGUGAGUACAAUGCUAAAGAUGGCUGUCAGCUAAUAACACGAAGACUAAUAAAUAAGAGUAGAAGUCUCUACCAUAGAAAGCAAUUGGAAGAAUUAUGCUGGAAACAACACAAAGCAAUCAGAACAUUGCAAAAACAGAGUAUAACGAUGAUAUUAAAUAGGGUUUUCCCUAUUUCCUAUCCCCAUUUUUCCUAUUUUCCAUCCCCUUCACAAUUGUUAAAAUCAAUUUACGUUUCAAUUCUGGUUUUUCCUAAGUACCACCCAUUAAAAGUCAAAUUAACUAUGACUACUCCAUUAUUACUUUUAUUUGUCAUCUUCUUCUUUGUGAAUCAUUUAAUCCCUUUUUUUCGUUAA